AAGCGGAGGAAAAGAAAAUAACCAUGGAUUCCCCUAGUAACGGCGAGUGAAGAGGGAAAAGCUCAAAGUUGGAACCUGGCUGCCCUAGGCAGUCCGGAUUGUAAACUAAAGAGCGUGAUUCCAGGCAAGCCGGUUGACCAAGUCCUUUGGAAUGAGGCGCCACUGAGGGUGAGAGCCCCGUAAGUCGACUGAGCAUUUGUCUUUUGUGCUUCGCGUUCAAAGAGUCAGGUUGUUUGGGAAUGCAGCCUAAAGCUGGUGGUAAAUCCCACCUAAAGCUAAAUACAGGCGAGAGACCGAUAGCGAACAAGUACCGUGAGGGAAAGAUGAAAAGAACUUUGAAAAGAGAGUUAAACAGUAUGUGAAAUUGCCAAGAGGGAAGCAUUUGGAGUUAGAUUGACUAGGAGUUAAUCAGCUUGGUCUUUGGACUGGGUGUACUUGACUUCUUACAGUCUGCCAAUAGCAGUUAGUCCUAGUGGAAAAAACCAGAGGGAAGGUAGUCCUUCGGGAUGUUUAUAGACCUUUGGAAAAUACACUGGGAUUGACUGAGGAAUGCAGUAGAUGCCACUAAGGCUUCGUCUAGUGGGUGCUAGGCAAAGGUACUUGGUAUUUUCAGCUUGCUGAUGUGCUAGGUUACUCGAGUCUAGUCGCCUACUAGAACUGUAAUCUACU
rnacentral:rRNA from 1 species